AUUUUUUUCAGGGUUAUCAAAUCAAGUCCUAUUAUUUGCGAUGGCCUUGUAUAAUAGAAACAAUCUAUAAACAUGGCAAACAGACAACUAAAAGAAAACAAAGAGUCCUGAUUGGAACCAACAACAAAACAAAAGUUUCAACAGGCAACCAAACUAUUGAAGCUGAUAGAAAACAAAUAGAAAUCCAAGUCUAUUCUGAAAUUGCGACAAAAAGUUUACUUGCAGACCUUAAGGGUUUAUUUAAAUAAAGUUCCGGUGGACAAACAAUGAAGUUAGCUCAUAACAGGACUACAGGGAAAAAAUUCUCCAAGUGCGUACAAAAAAGUCACUGAAGUUUAGUGUGUAAGCAAUUGUGAAAUCUUGUACCUACCUCAGAUAAUUCUGUGGAAUUUACUGAACAGGACUUUGUCAUGAUAGUAAACCACACCUACAAAUUA